UCCACGAGCUAGGGCUCUAGUGAAUAUCCACCCAAGACAGAGACACGCCAGGUCUGUAAUCUUGGUGGUCAAUACAGAGUAAUGUGCUUUCACUGUAAGGGCGGACCAACAAAAAUAUUCCUACUUUUUGAACCACUUCACUCUCGUUGGGGUGACUCUCCAGCUGCCAGGGAGGAAUUGUGAUAACUGGAAUGAAAGUAGGAACAGUCUAUAUUCAUGAUGCCAGGGUCAUGGGUCUCAAAGAACUUAGCUGGGUCAUGGCCACUGAGAAAUGACACACAUAUCUUUGGUAAUCUGAUGGCU